AAAACCGACACUGGUAGGCAGGGUGAGAAUCCCAAGGCGCUUGAGAGAACUCGGGUGAAGGAACUAGGCAAAAUGGCACCGUAACUUCGGGAGAAGGUGCGCCCUUUGACGUGGUCACAUGCGUGACUGAGCGUUGAAGGGUCGCAGUAACCUGGCCGCUGCGACUGUUUAUCAAAAACACAGCACUCUGCAAACACGAAAGUGGACGUAUAGGGUGUGACGCCUGCCCGGUGCUGGAAGGUUAAUUGAUGGGGUCAGCCGCAAGGCGAAGCUCUUGAUCGAAGCCCCAGUAAACGGCGGCCGUAACGAUAACGGUCCUAAGGUAGCGAAAUUCCUUGUCGGGUAAGUUCCGACCUGCACGAAUGGCGUAACGACAGCGGCGCUGUCUCCACCCGAGACUCAGUGAAAUUGAAUUCGCUGUGAAGAUGCAGCGUUCCCGCGGCAAGACGGAAAGACCCCGUGAACCUUUUCUAUAGCUUUACACUGAACGUUGAGUUCUUCUGUGUAGGAUAGGUGGGAGGCUUUGAAGCGCAGACGCCAGUUUGCGUGGAGCCAACCUUGAAAUACCACCCUGAAGUGCUUGACGUUCUAACCUCGGCCCGUAAUCCGGGUCAGGGACCGUGUAUGGUGGGUAGUUUGACUGGGGCGGUCUCCUCCCAAAGAGUAACGGAGGAGCACGAAGGUACGCUCAGCGCGGUCGGACAUCGCGCACUGUGUGCAAUGGCAUAAGCGUGCUUGACUGCGAGAUCGACGGAUCAAGCAGGUACGAAAGUAGGUCAUAGUGAUCCGGUGGUUCUGUAUGGAAGGGCCAUCGCUCAACGGAUAAAAGGUACUCCGGGGAUAACAGGCUGAUACCGCCCAAGAGUUCAUAUCGACGGCGGUGUUUGGCACCUCGAUGUCGGCUCAUCACAUCCUGGGGCUGUAGCCGGUCCCAAGGGUAUGGCUGUUCGCCAUUUAAAGUGGUACGCGAGCUGGGUUCAGAACGUCGUGAGACAGUUCGGUCCCUAUCUGUCGUGGGCGUUGGAGAUUUGAGGGGGGCUGCUCCUAGUACGUGAGGACCGGAGUGGACGUUCCGCUGGUGUUCGGGUUGUCAUGCCCAUGGCAUUGCCCGGUAGCUAUGAACGGAAGUGAUAACCGCUGAAAGCAUCUAAGCGGGAAGCACGCCCCAAGAUGAGAUCUCCCGAGAGCUUGACUCUCCUAAAGGCACCAUCAAGACCAGGUGGUUGAUAGGUCAGGUGUGGAAGCGCAGCAAUGCGUUGAGCUAACUGAUACUAAUGAGCCGUGCGGCUUGAUC
rnacentral:rRNA from 1 species